ensembl:snRNA U1 U1 spliceosomal RNA
AUACUUACCUGGCAGGGGCGAUACCAUGGUCACGAAGGUGGUUCACCCAGGGCGAGGCUCUGCCAUUGCACUUGGGUGGUGCUGACCCUUGCGAAUUCCCCAAAUACGGGAAUCUCGACUGCAUAAUUUCUGGUAGUGGGGGACUGCGUCCGCGCUCUCCCCUG